AGAGUUUGAUCCUGGCUCAGAUUGAACGCUGGCGGCAGGCCUAACACAUGCAAGUCGAGCGGUAGAGAGAAGCUUGCUUCUCUUGAGAGCGGCGGACGGGUGAGUAAUGCCUAGGAAUCUGCCUGGUAGUGGGGGAUAACGUUCGGAAACGGACGCUAAUACCGCAUACGUCCUACGGGAGAAAGCAGGGGACCUUCGGGCCUUGCGCUAUCAGAUGAGCCUAGGUCGGAUUAGCUAGUUGGUGAGGUAAUGGCUCACCAAGGCGACGAUCCGUAACUGGUCUGAGAGGAUGAUCAGUCACACUGGAACUGAGACACGGUCCAGACUCCUACGGGAGGCAGCAGUGGGGAAUAUUGGACAAUGGGCGAAAGCCUGAUCCAGCCAUGCCGCGUGUGUGAAGAAGGUCUUCGGAUUGUAAAGCACUUUAAGUUGGGAGGAAGGGUUGUAGAUUAAUACUCUGCAAUUUUGACGUUACCGACAGAAUAAGCACCGGCUAACUCUGUGCCAGCAGCCGCGGUAAUACAGAGGGUGCAAGCGUUAAUCGGAAUUACUGGGCGUAAAGCGCGCGUAGGUGGUUUGUUAAGUUGGAUGUGGAAUCCCCGGGCUCAACCUGGGAACUGCAUUCAAAACUGACUGACUAGAGUAUGGUAGAGGGUGGUGGAAUUUCCUGUGUAGCGGUGAAAUGCGUAGAUAUAGGAAGGAACACCAGUGGCGAAGGCGACCACCUGGACUAAUACUGACACUGAGGUGCGAAAGCGUGGGGAGCAAACAGGAUUAGAUACCCUGGUAGUCC
rnacentral:rRNA from 1 species